UCCGUGUUAACCACGGCAGUCUCCUUAGAGAGCCCAACUUAAUGCUGGCAACUAAGGACAAGGGUUGCGCUCGUUGCGGGACUUAACCCAACAUGUCACCACACGAGCUGACGACAGCCAUGCAGCACCUGUCUCUCUGUCGUAUUGCUACGAAAACUGUAUUUCUACAGCGGUCAGAGGAUGUCAAAUCCAGGUAAGGUUCUUCGCGUUGCUUCGAAUUAAACCACAUGAUCCACCGCUUGUGCGGGCCCCCGUCAAUUCCUUUGAGUUUUAGUCUUGCGACCGUACUCCCCAGGCGCGGUACUUAUCGCGUUAGCUCCGGCUCGGCAGGGGUUAAGACCCACCUAACCUAGUACCGAUCGUUUACAGCGUGGACUAC
rnacentral:misc_RNA from 1 species